rnacentral:rRNA from 1 species
AUGUUCACUGCAUGGUGUCUAUGGUGUCACCGCAAUGCAUGCAUCUUUGAUGGCAUGCGGCCUUCCACAUCACGUGUCCUACAGGAAAUCCAAGACCAAGCAUGGCUAUAGGAGAGGGCCGGUGCUACAGGAUUGACUACCAUCCUCCCUGAGGCGUAG